GCGUGUGAAAGGAAUCCCAUGGAAUUUUUAAUUCCCAAAUAAUGCGAUUCGUCGAAAUCAUCCGAGGCAUCUGUGGCCGAACGGGAUUGGUGAACCUGCGGCAGAAUGGAUUUUUUUGGUUUUUAUUUAAUCAAAUUCAGGAAAACCAAAAAAGAGGUAAAUGCGGCGGUGUGCUUCGAAUGUUAUCCACAACGGCGCAGAUAGAUAGGUGCUGACAUGGAACAUUGUAAAAGGAGCAUGAAACCGGAGGAAAACUGAAUCAAUGAGACAAGGGUAUGGAGCUUUUCUGUCCUAUUCUUGGUGUGUUUUUAUGACUUUAUAAGAGUCCAUGUUCUUUGGUUCAUCAUCUGACUAAUCUUGUCCGGCUAUUAAACGGAAAACAAUAGUUGUUGGGGCAUCUCGUCACAAAACGAUAUAUAUGAAUUAUUGAAAUGGUUUUUCUUGCAAUCUAUCAAGUGGAGGUUACAACGGUAAAGUGGCUGUCAGUUUCUAUUGCCCUUUUGCUGAGGUUUCCAGACCAUGGUCCAGUUGCAUAUGCCAUUGCCAUGCACACUAGAGCUUUCAGUAAUUGCUAAUCUUGAAUUUGUUGCCACUCCAAUAAGUUUCUAAUAUUUCCCCCAAAGAGAAAAAAAAAAUUCAGUGAGGCAUUAAUGAUUCAAUCUUUAAAUCUCAAUUUCACUGCGUCGAAUUCUUUUCCCUUUCUCCUUGUUUUAGUUCAUAAGGGUAGUUUAAUCUUGUUUGUGAUACUGCUAUGAUUUUGGAUGAAUUUUAAUGCAUUGACUAUUGAGAUUAUAAAUUUGUUGACUUCAAUUUUCCAUUAAUCAUUGAAAUGUCUUCUGUUCAUGUGAAUUCAAGAAAAGUAAUUUUACAAAAGGCUGGUUUGAAAUGAUUUGCAGCAAGUUAUGAUGUAAGCAGCACAUUUAUGAACCUUGAUUUGAAUCCUGGAAUCAAUUUUAGAGCCCAUCACUCUGGUUUGAAAAUUUCUAAGACAGUUCAAUGCUCUUAUAUAUGUUUUAAAGUUUUUGAUGCGGAGAAUAUGCUUUUAUGGUAACAUUUUAAAUAAAAAUAUAUUUUGAAUGUGAUAUCUUAGAGAUGAAAUUUUGAUGAACAGGGCGAAAACAUGUAAGUAAAUAGAGUGUGAUUAGUAAGAACAGCAGUACACUUAAAAGAUAGUUUAACUAUGCUGUUUAUGAUUGAUUUACUAGGGUAUCAACUGCAAGUUUAAAUUAGUAAAUGAGAGCACUAUUACUUUACUGCUAUCUUAGUUGGGUCUAAACAUGGCUUCAUGACAUAAUUGAAGAAAGCUGGAUAGUAAAUGCCUCUGCUGAAUGAAUUUGGGUAAAGGGUCAAUAGUGGUGGUAAGAAUUAAUUGAGGAUGAUAUAUAUCACCAUAUAUGCUGCUGUAAGAAGAAGGCAAAAUCAACUGUGAAACCUCUUCUUCUAAGUUAUCUUUCAUUAUCAUUUAGUCAAGAUAGAAAAUGCAAAAUAAAUAUAUAAAUAAAUGUAACCACCCCCUAUAGUUGUUUGCCACAAUAGGGAAAAUUCCAAAAGAAUUUAAAAAUCCUAAGGUGUGUGUUGCCAGCUAUUUAUAGCACCCACGAGCGCACCUCCAUCCAGACCUGUGUGAUAUCUGCAUUCUGUACUUGGCCUCCCAAAAAAGUGAGUAACAUGUUUUUCUAAACCUACACUCUCUCUACUGUCCCCCCCUUCUGAGUUUCCAAAAACUUGAGCAGCCAUAACUGAAAGCUUCAGAUUACCUCAAAACAGAGAUAUGAGGGGUAAAUCAUCUUCUUCAUCAAAGUCUAGAAAUGGGGGGCUGGAAUUUGAGAAGGUUGAGAAAUCCAAAGAACCCCAAUUGUCUGGUGCUUACAUUCGUAGCCUUGUUAAACAAUUAACCUCUUCAAGAACCAAAGAUUCCUCGAAUCUCAAUGAGUAUGAGAAUUUAGAGGAAGAGGGGAAUCAAAGUUCUUGCAGAAAUCAUCCUAGUACUAGAUUCUCUGAUCAGAAACAAGAAACUUCAAGCAAUCAAAGUUUGUGCAUAAGCUCUUGUGAGGGGUUUUCUGAUGAGAAAUCUCAUCUCCCCCCUCAGCAGCACAAGAAGCAAGUCAGGAGAAGGCUUCAUGCCAGCAGACCUUACCAAGAGAGGCUACUUAAUAUGGCUGAAGCCCGCAGAGAAAUUGUCACUGCCCUUAAGUUUCAUAGAGCAGCUAUGAAACAAGCCAGUGAAAAGCAGCAGCAGCAGCAACAACAGCUGCAACAACAACCAAACAUGGAGUCAGGGCCCGAAAACCAACCUUAUGCCUCUGCUGCAUCUCAUCACCUCUGUUUGGAGCAAGAAGCCAAAUUGAAGUCCAGGAGGAACCCCAGGAUUUAUGCUUCAAAUUCUUCUGUCCCAAAUAGUUUCCCUGCCAAUUAUAUGGACGGUAUCUCCUCCUACUCACCCGGGUACUGUUGUCCAUAUUCUUGGUCAUUAUCUCCAAUGGCACCACCACCCAUUGUCCAGGAAAAUCUCAAUUUCACUCUGCCUAGCCAGCCACUUGGCCUUAAUCUCAAUCUUCAAGAUUUUAGUAACUUGGAUGCUACUGCUUUCAAUUGCAGCACCAACCCCUCAUCGAUUUUCUCAUACUCAGCAUCAACCUCUUCCUCUCCUGUUUCAGCUUACACCGAUGAGAAUCCAUGCUUUGAAGCAGCCCCACCUUCGGUGGCAGCUGAAGCAGGAGAAUAUGGGGAUUCAGGGAUGCAUCCAGUAAUGGAUGAUAAGGAAAUUGCUGAGAUCAGGUCAAUUGGGGAGCAGUACGAGAUGGAGUGGAAUGACACUGUGAAUCUAGUGAAUUCAGCUUGGUGGUUCAAGUUUUUGAAGGAAACAGAAAUGAAACCUGAAAAUCAACAAGGUGAGUAUUUUGUGAACUCUCCGUUUGAUGAAGUCAUGGAGUUCCCUGCCUGGCUCAAUGCAAAUGAGAGCUGCUUGCAGCAUGUCAACGAUCACUGCUCUGAUGGCUACUAUCCAGAACCUGCUUUGCCAUGAUUGCUUUCAUGGAAAAUUUGAUACUCAGACAACCAAACAAGGAUAAAGCUUGAUCCCCUUAUAGCACAUAAUUCACCAUGACUGCUUGCUUGUGAAUUCAUGGACAUUGAAGAAAUUGAAGGAAUGGAUGGAGACUGGUUAGCCUGAAAAAGAUUUUGAUGGAUAGCUGGGCUGGCUCUGUUUCUUCACAACAGCAACAAUAAUAAUGAUAAUAGUAAUAAUCAGAUUGUUGGUGGCCUUAAGCCUUUUUUACUGCCUUGGGCACCUGCGUUUUUUAUUUGUAAUUUUUUAAUGUUGUUGUCGGCUCUGUUCAACAAGGCUUGCUUGAAUCUGUAAUGAACAGACAACCAAAUAAAAUAGUAUUAGCUAGACGAUGAUGAUGAUGGGAAAUUACUAUAUACUCCUAUAUAUUUAUUCAGUUAUUCUACCCUUCCCUCCCCUCCCUCUCAACUUUUGUUGAUUCAAGUGUUAGUUGUCGUACAAGUGGAUCCAUGCUCUGUACUUUCUUCCCCUAUUCUUUAUUAAUUAAUCAGUCCUAGCUUAUGUUAUUUAUUUAUUUUUUCUUA